rnacentral:rRNA from 1 species
AUGAACGCUAGCUACAGGCUUAACACAUGCAAGUCGAGGGGCAGCAUGGUCUUAGCUUGCUAAGGCCGAUGGCGACCGGCGCACGGGUGAGUAACACGUAUCCAACCUGCCGUCUACUCUUGGACAGCCUUCUGAAAGGAAGAUUAAUACAAGAUGGCAUCAUGAGUCCGCAUGUUCACAUGAUUAAAGGUAUUCCGGUAGACGAUGGGGAUGCGUUCCAUUAGAUAGUAGGCGGGGUAACGGCCCACCUAGUCUUCGAUGGAUAGGGGUUCUGAGAGGAAGGUCCCCCACAUUGGAACUGAGACACGGUCCAAACUCCUACGGGAGGCAGCAGUGAGGAAUAUUGGUCAAUGGGCGAGAGCCUGAACCAGCCAAGUAGCGUGAAGGAUGACUGCCCUAUGGGUUGUAAACUUCUUUUAUAAAGGAAUAAAGUCGGGUAUGGAUACCCGUUUGCAUGUACUUUAUGAAUAAGGAUCGGCUAACUCCGUGCCAGCAGCCGCGGUAAUACGGAGGAUCCGAGCGUUAUCCGGAUUUAUUGGGUUUAAAGGGAGCGUAGAUGGAUGUUUAAGUCAGUUGUGAAAGUUUGCGGCUCAACCGUAAAAUUGCAGUUGAUACUGGAUAUCUUGAGUGCAGUUGAGGCAGGCGGAAUUCGUGGUGUAGCGGUGAAAUGCUUAGAUAUCACGAAGAACUCCGAUUGCGAAGGCAGCCUGCUAAGCUGCAACUGACAUUGAGGCUCGAAAGUGUGGGUAUCAAACAGGAUUAGAUACCCUGGUAGUCCACACGGUAAACGAUGAAUACUCGCUGUUUGCGAUAUACUGCAAGCGGCCAAGCGAAAGCGUUAAGUAUUCCACCUGGGGAGUACGCCGGCAACGGUGAAACUCAAAGGAAUUGACGGGGGCCCGCACAAGCAGUGGAGUAUGUGGUUUAAUUCGACGCAACGCGAAGAACCUUACCAAGUCUUGACAUCCUUCUGACCGGUACUUAAUCGUACCUUCUCUUCGGAGCAGGAGUGACAGGUGGUGCAUGGUUGUCGUCAGCUCGUGUCGUGAGAUGUUGGGUUAAGUCCCGCAACGAGCGCAACCCUUGCUAUUAGUUGCUACGCAAGAGCACUCUAAUAGGACUGCCGUUGACAAAACGGAGGAAGGUGGGGAUGACGUCAAAUCAUCAUGCCCUUUAUGACUUGGGCUACACACGUACUACAAUGGCGUUAAACAAAGAGAAGCAAGACCGCGAGGUGGAGCAAAACUCAGAAACAACGUCCCAGUUCGGACUGCAGGCUGCAACUCGCCUGCACGAAGUCGGAAUUGCUAGUAAUCGUGGAUCAGCAUGCCACGGUGAAUACGUUCCCGGGCCUUGUACACACCGCCCGUCACACCAUGAGAGCCGGGGGGACCCGAAGUCGGUAGUCUAACCGCAAGGAGGACGCCGCCGAAGGUAAAACUGGUGAUUGGGGUG